rnacentral:rRNA from 1 species
GAUGAACGCUGGCGGCGUGCCUAAUACAUGCAAGUCGAGCGAACAGACGAGGAGCUUGCUCCUCUGACGUUAGCGGCGGACGGGUGAGUAACACGUGGAUAACCUACCUAUAAGACUGGGAUAACUUCGGGAAACCGGAGCUAAUACCGGAUAAUAUAUUGAACCGCAUGGUUCAAUAGUGAAAGACGGUUUUGCUGUCACUUAUAGAUGGAUCCGCGCCGCAUUAGCUAGUUGGUAAGGUAACGGCUUACCAAGGCAACGAUGCGUAGCCGACCUGAGAGGGUGGUCGGCCACACUGGAACUGAGACACGGUCAAGACUCCUACGGGAGGCAGCAGAAGGGAAUCUGCCGCAAUGGGCGAAAACCUGACGGAGCAGCGCCGCGUGAGUGAUGAAGGUCUUCGGAUCGUAAAACUCUGUUAUUGGGGAAGAACAAAUGUGUAAGUAACUAUGCACGUCUUGACGGUACCUAAUCAGAAAGCCACGGCUAACUACGUG